rnacentral:rRNA from 1 species
UACGGGGGGAGCAAGCGUUGUUCGGAUUUACUGGGCGUAAAGGGCGGGUAGGCGGCCACCUCAAGUCCGUUGUGAAAUCUCUGGGCUUAACCCAGAAAGGUCAACUGAUACUGCGGGGCUAGAGUGCAGAAGGGGCAACUGGAAUUCUCGGUGUAGCGGUGAAAUGCGUAGAUAUCGAGAGGAACACCUGCGGCGAAGGCGGGUUGCUGGGCUGACACUGACGCUGAACUGCGAAAGCUAGGGGAGCGAACGGG